ACAUUACGUUAUUUUCAAAAGGAGGGAGAUGUAAUAUGCACAUAUGUCAUAUAUAUCGAGUGUACACUGUGAUUACCUUUUGUAUCGAGUUUACACUGUGUUUGACACUUAUAUGCCGGCAACACUUUGUGCAGCCACAACAAAUCACAAUAAACAAAAACAAACUCAAGUGAGCGCGUAACAUGAUCGGCCACUUGUGAAUUCGGCUAAGUCAGCAUAUGCACGCUGACCGCCAGUGCCCUAUGCAUAUGUGUAUAAUACUCUCUCUCACUCUAAAGUAUUUACGUAAGACAAAGCAUGCAUAUCCAUUGUCACCUAAGCAUAAGUAUUUACAUAUAAGAAAUAUAUAAUGCAGCCGCGCCGCUGCCGGCUCAACCGGCAGCGCAGUGCGCGCUGAACUUAUGUACUUAGGGUAAGAGAACAUUUUACUUCAAAUAAAAGAUUAUUAUAAAACCUAAAUCCAAACUGCACUGACGUGCAAGACUUUUCAUUGAACUUCAACUUACAACCUAACAGCUCGAAGGUACAACAACCUAACAUCUCGAUAUACAACAAAAAACUGUGUUCCCAACGGCAACGAUAAAUGGCUGCUGGUUUCAUUACUGUCAAGCUUUGAGGCGCAACAGCUUAAAAAUUCCUAAUUUUGGAGCAACGUUAAAAAUACGGACUGCUACAAAUGGUACAGGACGUUUCUCAGCUUGCCAUUAAUUAAGCCUCCGAAAAUUCAGGAAAUGUUUACAAUUUUGAAGGACCAAUUGUUGGAGCUGCCAAAAAACAGGCACGACAUUUUGAAACGAUUUUUAAAUUACUUUGAAAAGGAAUGGAUGGUUAAAACCACUCCUGAUGUAUUCUCUGUGCGCGCUCAGGUUGUGCGAACAACAAGCUCAUUGCAGUCCUUCAACGCUGCAUUAGCUCGGAAAUUGCAAAAGCAUGGCCGCUUCGACCAAUUUCUCGAAGUUAUUCGAGAUGAGGUCUAUGCUACAAGCGUAAUUUUAGCUAAUGCUCUGGAUGGCGACUUAACCGCGCAAAGCGCAAAGUGAAAAAAGGAGAGAGUCAACGACAACAAAAUAGAAGAGCUUAUCAGGGACUUGGAGAGCGCAACAAUAUCAUUAAACGAGUUUUUUGGCAGCCUAAUUAAU